rnacentral:rRNA from 1 species
UACGGAGGGUGCAAGCGUUAUCCGGAUUUACUGGGUUUAAAGGGUGCGUAGGUGGGUUUGUAAGUCAGUGGUGAAAUCUCCGAGCUUAACUUGGAAACUGCCAUUGAUACUAUAAGUCUUGAAUACUUUGGAGGUGAGCGGAAUAUGUCAUGUAGCGGUGAAAUGCUUAGAUAUGACAUAGAACACCAAUUGCGAAGGCAGCUCACUACGCAAAUAUUGACACUGAGGCACGAAAGCGUGGGGAUCAAACAGG